rnacentral:rRNA from 1 species
AUUGAACGCUAGCGGGAUGCCUUACACAUGCAAGUCGAACGGAGUGGCGAACGGGUGAGUAAUGUUUCGGAACGUGCCCAGUAGCGGGGGAUAACGACGCGAAAGCGUAGCUAAUACCGCAUACUAUUGGAGCGGCCGAUAUCGGAUUAGCUAGUUGGUGGGGUAACGGCUCACCAAGGCGACGAUCCGUAGCUGGUUUGAGAGGAUGACCAGCCACACUGGAACUGAGACACGGCACAGACUCCUACGGGAGGCAGCAGUGGGGAAUUUUGGACAAUGGGGGCAAGCCUGAUGCAGCCAUGCGGCGUGUGUGAAGAAGGUCUUCGGGUUGUAAAGCACUGUUAGCGGGGAGGCGGUACCUGCAGAAUAAGCACCGGCUAACUACGUGCCAGCAGCCGCGGUAAUAC